ensembl:lncRNA
CCUCUGUCCUACUGCGCCCAUCAACCUGCAGUUUGCCGACAGACAACCCUGGACAGAUACACUGUUUCACCCUUUCUUCUCCUUAUCUCUCUAGUGAGGAGGUAAAUUUGGAGAAUAACAGACAGACUGUCGUAAGGCAGGUUUAUACCAUCCUGUACCCAGAUGCCAUUGCUCUGUGUAAACAGCCUCUAAGAUACAGGAUGUACACAGACCAUAAGUGUCAGCUUUUUAUAUAUAUAUAUACAAUAUCAAUACUUGUUUCAUUUACAACUUUUCUAAGUCCUGUUAUCAACUGACUUCAGCACAGUGUCUGGCUGUGGAUUGGCUGCAGUGUCUGGCUGUGGAUUGCUGCAGUGUCUGGCUGUGGAUUGGCUGCAGCGUCUGGCUGUGGAUUGGCUGCAGUGUCUGGCUGUGGAUUGGCUGCAGUGUCUGGCUGUGGAUUGGCUGCAGUGUCUGGCUGUGGAUUGGCUGCAGUGUCUGGCUGUGGGAUUGGCUGCAGUGUCUGGCUGUGGAUUGGCUGCAGUGUUUGAAUGGAAUGUUGGCAUAUAAUUUUUUUUUUUAAUACAAAAAAACUGAAGAAAAAACUGUCUAGCUAACAAAACAACCUGUGCAGUUCUAUCUACAUUACAUUGACUAGCUAUGCAAUUUCAAACAGAGACUGGAAUAACCUGUUUGUUUAGUUAUAAAAUGAGCACACAGAAACUAACCCAGUGCACUUCUUCAAAUCUCUUACAAUCUUUAUAUGUUCAAAAGGUACUUUAUUUUAUUUUUUCUGACUGACCUUGAAUUGUUCAAACUGUUUUUUGGGGGGUUUCUUCCGGACUUGUUUCCUGGUCACGUGAGAGACUGUUGUUUUAUACUGUAUGUAGGAAGCACCGCAGAGACUGUAUUUAUGAAGAAAGGAUGGAAAUGGAGAGCGGGGCUUGUCGAAGGGCAGAGAAAUACAUAAACUGUAGGUUCCUUCUGUUUGAUGAGGAAGAAGGUUUUUAAUAGAGAUUCCAGAUCUGGAAACCUCAUGGGAAAAGGUAUUUAGAAAGUGUCUUGUUGUUUUGGUGUCGUACUGCUCUGAGCAGUGAAAUGAGUCUGACGUCAAAAGGUGCCAGGGUCUAACCGAGUCUCCCUGUUUGAACUUCGUAAGGAAGAGAAUUGGAUGUUCAUCGAUGAUUAGUAGACUAAUGUCCGACCAGUUUCUAUAAAUUCAACGGUAACUAAUUGAG